GACGAACGCUGGCGGCGUGCUUAACACAUGCAAGUCGAACGGAAAGGCCCUUCGGGGUACUCGAGUGGCGAACGGGUGAGUAACACGUGGGUGAUCUGCCCUGCACUUUGGGAUAAGCCUGGGAAACUGGGUCUAAUACCGAAUAGGACCACGCGCUUCAUGGUGUGUGGUGGAAAGCUUUUGCGGUGUGGGAUGGGCCCGCGGCCUAUCAGCUUGUUGGUGGGGUAAUGGCCUACCAAGGCGACGACGGGUAGCCGGCCUGAGAGGGUGACCGGCCACACUGGGACUGAGAUACGGCCCAGACUCCUACGGGAGGCAGCAGUGGGGAAUAUUGCACAAUGGGCGCAAGCCUGAUGCAGCGACGCCGCGUGAGGGAUGACGGCCUUCGGGUUGUAAACCUCUUUCAAUAGGGACGAAGCGCAAGUGACGGUACCUAUAGAAGAAGCACCGGCCAACUACGUGCCAGCAGCCGCGGUAAUACGUAGGGUGCGAGCGUUGUCCGGAAUUACUGGGCGUAAAGAGCUCGUAGGUGGUUUGUCGCGUUGUUCGUGAAAACUCACAGCUUAACUGUGGGCGUGCGGGCGAUACGGGCAGACUAGAGUACUGCAGGGGAGACUGGAAUUCCUGGUGUAGCGGUGGAAUGCGCAGAUAUCAGGAGGAACACCGGUGGCGAAGGCGGGUCUCUGGGCAGUAACUGACGCUGAGGAGCGAAAGCGUGGGGAGCGAACAGGAUUAGAUACCCUGGUAGUCCACGCCGUAAACGGUGGGUACUAGGUGUGGGUUCCUUCCUUGGGAUCCGUGCCGUAGCUAACGCAUUAAGUACCCCGCCUGGGGAGUACGGCCGCAAGGCUAAAACUCAAAGGAAUUGACGGGGGCCCGCACAAGCGGCGGAGCAUGUGGAUUAAUUCGAUGCAACGCGAAGAACCUUACCUGGGUUUGACAUGCACAGGACGCCGGCAGAGAUGUCGGUUCCCUUGUGGCCUGUGUGCAGGUGGUGCAUGGCUGUCGUCAGCUCGUGUCGUGAGAUGUUGGGUUAAGUCCCGCAACGAGCGCAACCCUUGUCCUAUGUUGCCAGCGGGUUAUGCCGGGGACUCGUAGGAGACUGCCGGGGUCAACUCGGAGGAAGGUGGGGAUGACGUCAAGUCAUCAUGCCCCUUAUGUCCAGGGCUUCACACAUGCUACAAUGGCCGGUACAAAGGGCUGCGAUGCCGUGGGGUGGAGCGAAUCCUUUCAAAGCCGGUCUCAGUUCGGAUCGGGGUCUGCAACUCGACCCCGUGAAGUCGGAGUCGCUAGUAAUCGCAGAUCAGCAACGCUGCGGUGAAUACGUUCCCGGGCCU
rnacentral:rRNA from 1 species